GUGGGGAAUAUUGGACAAUGGGCGAAAGCCUGAUCCAGCCACGCCGCGUGUGUGAUGAAGGCCCUCGGGUCGUAAAGCACUGUGGGGAGGGAAGAAUAGGUAGCCAGCUAAUACCUGGCUAUUCUGACGGUACCUCCUUAGCAAGCACCGGCUAACUCCGUGCCAGCAGCCGCGGUAAUACGGAGGGUGCAAACGUUGCUCGGAAUCAUUGGGCGUAAAGCGCGUGUAGGCGGCUUGUUAAGUCGGGUGUGAAAUCCCUGGGCUCAACCCAGGAAGUGCGCCCGAAACUGGCGAGCUAGAGUACGGGAGAGGGUAGUGGAAUUCCCGGUGUAGAGGUGAAAUUCGUAGAUAUCGGGAGGAACACCAGUGGCGAAGGCGGCUACCUGGACCGAUACUGACGCUGAGACGCGAAAGCGUGGGUAGCAAACAGGAUUAGAAACCCCGGUAGUCC
rnacentral:rRNA from 1 species